GAUGAACGCUGGCGGCAUGCCUAAUACAUGCAAGUCGAGCGCAGCGGGGACGGGUGAGUAACACGUGUAUAACCUCCUCUAAGACUGGGACAACUUCGGGAAACCGGUGCUAACCCGGAUUCUUAUAUAUGGAUCCGCGCUGCAUUAGCUAGUUGGUAAGGUAACGGCUUACCAAGGCAACGAUGCAUAGCCGACCUGAGCGGGUGAGCGGACACACGGGAACUGAGACACGGUCCAGACUCCUACGGGAGGCAGCAGUGGGGAAUCUGGCGCAAUGGGCGAAAGCCUGAGGGAGCAACGCCGCGUGAGUGAUGAAGGUCUUCGGAUCGUAAAACUCUGGUAUUGGGGAAGCGGUACCUAAUCAGAAAGCCACGGCUAACUACGUGCCAGCAGCCGCGGUAAUUC
rnacentral:rRNA from 1 species